UGGCACAAAUAACAAAGUGCUGAUAGUGAAGCCACAAAAUGUUAAUAUGAGGUCAUUGGGGAGGAGGAGUAUGGAACUUCUUGGUAAAGCCUGGAAAAGGCCAAAUAAGCAGAGAACACUCAAUUGCUGAAGAACCAAAAGGCAGAUUCCUUGUAGCCACUAUGGUAACAAACCAUUCUCUUCACGGUUGAUAUCAACUACCAAUAGUUGACUGGAUGGUCUUUGGGUGAUUGAAACUCAGUAUCUGCAGAGAGUCUACAUUUCUCCUAACAGAGGUUUGCAUCUAUGGAGACAGUUUGGAAACCUCAAGCAUUAGGAUACUUAUGCUGCUUUUCUCAACACAUUCUGUGAAAGGACACAGUCCAGACCAAGGUUAUGCAAGUGAGAAAAAUAAGAACCAGAAACUAAAAGAAACUAUAAAGCCAAAUUACGGAUUUUUAAAUUAAAUGUAUUGUUCAGAUUAAUCUGUUCAGAAUCAUUUUUAACAUUUAGAAUUCAAUCAUGUAUAAAUUACCAUGGAUA